CUGUAGAUGUAAGCUGAGGGAGCCACCAAAGGGCAGCCCUGGCUCCAGAAGGAGCUUCUGGCUGUUGUCUAUGGAACAGAACUAAUGUCCACCUCCCUUCAUUGUCUGCCUGAUUCCUUCAUGGCUGAACAUAGAAGAGCUCAGAAGGGACAGAAGCCUCUUCUCUGAAUGCCCCUCUCUCAUAGGAUUAGAUAGUGACUCAGAUUGGAAUAGGGAGUUUGAAUUUUAGUUGGAUGGGUGAUAGGCAUCCCUGGAGGUUUUGGGACAAGAGAGGGACAUGGCAGGUUUGCAUUUCAAAUAGAAGGGGAAACUCUGGGGCAUGGAGGUGACUAGCCGAGGAGGGAUUUGCUAGUUAAUUGCAGAAUCCAAACCCCAGUCUCUAGGUUGAAGUUCAACUCUCUUUGACUGACAUUUCACAGCAGCUAAGCUUAUAGAACCAUGAAGAUGAUGGGAGGGUGUCUUGCCCAUCAGCCUAGAGGAAAGAGGAAGAAAUAUUAAGCUCCCAGGUGAGGAACUUCCCUGCUAAUUCCCUUGAAUCGGCCGAGUUGGAGCAAAGAGCUUUCUCACACCCAUCAUCUGCCUGGCCACUGACAGGAUUGGAUUCCUUGGAACUUUCCUGGGCUAUUGUAAGGCCAGAUACAAAGUGCUCUGACAACUGUCAAAGGCUUGCCAGAUGACAGGAGCUCGAGAUUCUGACGCCCCCAUGGAAUCCUGGACUUCUUGUGUGGAGGUCAGUUCAUCUGUCCUCCUGCUUCUGUCCCAGGUCAUGUUGGACAUAAGGCCUCUCCUCUUUCACAGAAUUAACAGCAAGUACAAGAAACAGUAACUGGAGGUCAGCUGGGGAUGUUAAGUGCUGAGUGUGCAUGUAUGCCCAGCGGAGUAUGUGGGAAGGGGUCACAGAAGAGGGAAGCUACAUUCCUAGGCUGGAGCUGACGUUCUUAUAAUUUAUAAGAAAAUGAAAGUCAGAGAAGAAGAGCUCAUUUUGAGAAUGGCAGAUUCACACCUCACCCUCAGAUUCAUUCUGUGGCCAUCUGACCUUUGAGGACAUAAGAACAAAUGAGCUCAUGCUCUUUACACCUUCUUCUAUACUAUUUUUCAUUAGCCGACAGUGGGGGACUGAUGCAAGGAGAUCCUGCUGGUUUCUCUGGUGGCCAGCAGCCAAUGUCCUCCCUGCCUUCACUAGCAGACUGUUUCCUCUCCGACCCCCUCUCAGGAUGCCAAAGGAACCUACCUGGAUAAUUCUCAGGACCCAGGAGGGGCAAAAUUGGCAUUUCUUCUGCAGUUUUUUUUUUUUUAAGAGGUCUUGCGUAUGGUGCCAUUAUUUUUUUAUACUUCGUAUAACUUUGGUUUGGUAAACCCAUUCUUUUUUAUCUUUAAAGAUUUUAUUUAUCCAUUUUUUGUGAGAGAGAGAGAAAGAGAGAAAAAGGAAU